AACGAACGCUGGCGGCAUGCUUAACACAUGCAAGUUGAACGCAGAAUAAGCCUUCGGGUUUAUUGCUGAGUAGCAAACGGGUGAGUAACGCGUGGGAAUCUGCCUUUGUGUGGGGGAUAACUAAGGGAAACUUUAGCUAAUACCGCAUAAGCUCUACGGAGGAAAGACUUCGGUCGCAGAAAGAGGAGCCCGCGUCAGAUUAGGUAGUUGGUGGGGUAAAAGCCUACCAAGCCAAUGAUCUGUAGCUGGUCUGAGAGGAUGAUCAGCCACACUGGGACUGAGACACGGCCCAGACUCCUACGGGAGGCAGCAGUGGGGAAUAUUGGACAAUGGGGGAAACCCUGAUCCAGCAAUGCCGCGUGAAUGAAGAAGGCCU
rnacentral:rRNA from 1 species